GACACUGCAGAUAAUCAGUCAUCUCAUAUUUAUGAAAACACCUUGCCAAGACCAAAGGUGGAGAACAAUGAACUUACCAAAGAGGAAUCUAGUUACCAGGAUUUAACAUUCCAAGAUAAAGCAGAAUACAGCACUAUAAUUCUGACACCUAAGAAAUAAUCAAGUCAGGAUAAAUGCAGGAACUCCGAAGAUGGAUAUAAAC